GUGAACGCUGGCGGUAGGCCUAACACACGCAAGUCGAACGGCAGCACAGUAAGAGCUUGCUCUUACGGGUGGCGAGUGGCGGACGGGUGAGGAAUACAUCGGAAUCUACUUUUUCGUGGGGGAUAACGUAGGGAAACUUACGCUAAUACCGCAUACGACCUACGGGUGAAAGCAGGGGAUCUUCGGACCUUGCGCGAUUGAAUGAGCCGAUGUCGGAUUAGCUAGUUGGCGGGGUAAAGGCCCACCAAGGCGACGAUCCGUAGCUGGUCCGAGAGGAUGAUCAGCCACACUGGAACUGAGACACGGUCCAGACUCCUACGGGAGGCAGCAGUGGGGAAUAUUGGACAAUGGGCGCAAGCCUGAUCCAGCCAUACCGCGUGGGUGAAGAAGGCCUUCGGGUUGUAAAGCCCUUUUGUUGGGAAUGAAAAGCAGCAGGUUAAUACCCCGCUGUUCUGACGGUACCCAAAGAAUAAGCACCGGCUAACUUCGUG
rnacentral:rRNA from 1 species